rnacentral:rRNA from 1 species
CCUACGGGUGACAGCAGUGGGGAAUAUUGGACAAUGGGGUGAACCCUGAUCCAGCGACGCCGCGUGAGUGAAGACGUAUUUCGGUAUGUAAAGCUCUAUCAGCCGGGAAGAAAAUGACGGUACGUGACUAAGAAGCCCCGGCUAACUACGUGCCAGCAGCCGCGGUAAUACGGAGGAUGCGAGCGUUAUCCGGAUUUAUUGGGUUAAAAGGGUGCGCAGGCGGAAGAUCAAGUCAGCGGUAAAAUCGAGGGGCUCAACCUCUUCGAGCCGUUGAAACUGGUUUUCUUGAGUGAGCGAGAAGUAUGCGGAAUGCGUGGUGUAGCGGUGAAAUGCAUAGAUAUCACGCAGAACUCCGAUUGCGAAGGCAGCAUACCGGCGCUCAACUGACGCUCAUGCACGAAAGUGUGGGUAUCGAACAGGAUUAGAUACCCGAGUAGUC